GCGCCUUAUGCAUGCAAGUCGAGCGAAGCUUUUCAGUAGUUUACUACAGAAAAUGACUGAGCGGCGAACGGGUGAGUAACGCGUGAGCAAUCUACCUUAGUUACAGGGAUAGCCCGAGGAAACUCGGAUUAAUACCUGAUAUUCUUUAUUUCUCGCAUGAGAAUAAAAGGAAAGGUCAGCCGAACUAAGAUGAGCUCGCGUUCUAUCAGCUAGUUGGUGAGGUAAAAGCUCACCAAGGCUACGACGGAUAGCUGGUCUGAGAGGACGAUCAGCCACACUGGGACUGAGACACGGCCCAGACUCCUACGGGAGGCUGCAGCAGGGAAUAUUGCGCAAUGAGCGAAAGCUUGACGCAGCGACACCGCGUGUGGGAUGACGGAUCUAGGUUUGUAAACCACUUUCAGGAGGGAAGAAAAUGACGGUACCUCCAUAAGAAGCCCCGGCCAACUACGUGCCAGCAGCCGCGGUAAUACGUAGGGGGCGAGCGUUGUCCGGAUUUAUUGGGCGUAAAGAGCUCGUAGGCGGUUCAACAAGUCGGUCGUGAAAGUUCAGGGCUCAACCCUGAAAUGUCGAUCGAUACUGUUGUGACUAGGAUACGGUAGAGGUGAGUGGAAUUCCGAGUGUAGCG
rnacentral:rRNA from 1 species